AUAUUGCGGCAAUGGAGGAAACUCUGACCCAGCGACGCCGCGUGCGGGAUGAAGGCCUUCGGGUUGUAAACCGCUUUCAGCAGGGAAGAAGCGAAAGUGACGGUACCUGCAGAAGAAGCACCGGCUAACUAUGUGCCAGCAGCCGCGGUAAUACAUAGGGUGCAAGCGUUGUCCGGAAUUAUUGGGCGUAAAGAGCUCGUAGGUGGUUCGUCACGUCGGAUGUGAAAAUCUGGGGCUCAACCCCAGACCUGCAUUCGAUACGGGCGAGCUAGAGUUUGGUAGGGGAGACUGGAAUUCCUGGUGUAGCGGUGGAAUGCGCAGAUAUCAGGAGGAACACCAAUGGCGAAGGCAGGUCUCUGGGCCAAUACUGACACUGAGGAGCGAAAGCGCGGGGAGCGAACAGGAUUAGAUACCCGCGUAGUCCGGUC
rnacentral:rRNA from 1 species